UGACAGUCGAACGAUGACUUUUGUGCUUGCACAAAAUGAUUAGUGGCGAACGGGUGAGUAACACGUGAGUAACCUGCCCUUAACUUCGGGAUAAGCCUGGGAAACCGGGUCUAAUACCGGAUACGACGGACCACCGCAUGGCGGUCCGUGGAAAGCUUGAUGCGGUUUUGGAUGGACUCGCGGCCUAUCAGCUAGUUGGUUGGGGUAAUGGCCCACCAAGGCGACGACGGGUAGCCGGCCUGAGAGGGUGACCGGCCACACUGGGACUGAGACACGGCCCAGACUCCUACGGGAGGCAGCAGUGGGGAAUAUUGCACAAUGGGCGAAAGCCUGAUGCAGCGACGCCGCGUGAGGGACGAAGGCCUUCGGGUUGUAAACCUCUUUCAGCAGGGAAGAAGCGAAAGUGACGGUACCUGCAGAAGAAGCGCCGGCUAACUACGUGCCAGCAGCCGCGGUAAUACGUAGGGCGCAAGCGUUAUCCGGAAUUAUUGGGCGUAAAGAGCUCGUAGGCGGUUUGUCGCGUCUGCUGUGAAAGCCCGGGGCUCAACCCCGGGUCUGCAGUGGGUACGGGCAGACUAGAGUGCAGUAGGGGAGACUGGAAUUCCUGGUGUAGCGGUGAAAUGC
rnacentral:rRNA from 1 species